UAUCGCACAGGGAGACUAGUCUUUCACUUCCUCUCAUUUCCUCGUCCAAUUCAACUGGUUCAGGUGGUAUUAUUAUUGUCCAUACCUGAAGCAUCCACGAGCAACUUGUUAGCAAACAAACAAAUAUCAAUAUUGCCGUUGGGGGAUUUGGCAUUGAGUGUGGUACUCAAUGACACCCAAAUGAAAAUUACACAGUGGAUAAGUCUGACUUGGUGCAGAUACUCCCUUCGACUUGAAGCGCACACAUGCGCGUGCACUGUUGGCAUUAAGACGCGCACCAGUGGGUUCCAUGGCAAACCUUCUGGAAAUACGAAGACAAAGACAGAUUGAGUGGAGACAAUGGGAAUAUGACAUCUGCCUUGGCUCCUCCUGCCUCUCUUAUUGCCGACGUUCAUCUCUAUCUAUUCAGCGACAGGUAACGAUGCGAUACGAAACUCGUAUGUAAAUCUGCAGGAAGUAUAACUGCAAUCCUAGUGGUGACGGCAGACGGAGGAGUUUCCCUGCUGAAUGUGAUGUUUCCGUCUGAGUCAAACGGCGAUUUCUAGUUGUGAAUUGUCAUUCUGGAUGGGAGGACAUCACAAUGCAGAAGCUAUCAACGAAAUUCCUCCUCAUCU